CUGGUCAAUCUAGUGGCGAACGGGUGAGUAACACGUGGGUAACCUGCCCAUCAGAGGGGGAUAACAUUCGGAAACGGAUGCUAAAACCGCAUAGGUUCUUAAGUCGCAUGACUCGAGAAGGAAAGGAGGCUUCGGCUUCUGCUGAUGGAUGGACCCGCGGUGCAUUAGCUAGUUGGUGAGGUAACGGCUCACCAAGGCCGUGAUGCAUAGCCGACCUGAGAGGGUGAUCGGCCACAUUGGGACUGAGACACGGCCCAAACUCCUACGGGAGGCAGCAGUAGGGAAUCUUCCGCAAUGGACGCAAGUCUGACGGAGCAACGCCGCGUGAGUGAAGAAGGAUUUCGGUUCGUAAAACUCUGUUGUUAGAGAAGAACAGCGCAUAGAGUAACUGUUAUGCGUGUGACGGUAUCUAACCAGAAAGCCACGGCUAACUACGUGCCAGCAGCCGCGGUAAUACGUAGGUGGCAAGCGUUGUCCGGAUUUAUUGGGCGUAAAGCGAGCGCAGGCGGUCAAUUAAGUCUGAUGUGAAAGCCCCCGGCUCAACCGGGGAGGGUCAUUGGAAACUGGUUGACUUGAGUGCAGAAGAGGAGAGUGGAAUUCCAUGUGUAGCGGUGAAAUGCGUAGAUAUAUGGAGGAACACCAGUGGCGAAGGCGACUCUCUGGUCUGUAACUGACGCUGAGGCUCGAAAGCGUGGGUAGCAAACAGGAUUAGAUACCCUGGUAGUCCACGCCGUAAACGAUGAGUGCUAAGUGUUGGAGGGUUUCCGCCCUUCAGUGCUGCAGUUAACGCAUUAAGCACUCCGCCUGGG
rnacentral:rRNA from 1 species